UAUUGUUUGUGAAAGUCCUGCAACGGUCUUAGCUGUGCAUAGUCAAACUGUUCAGAUCCCACCAUGCCCAAGGGGUUGGAAGUCCUUGUGGAUAGGCUAUUCCUUUGUAAUGCACAGAAGCUCAGGUGCAGAGGGAUCAGGCCAAGCACUGGCUUCACCUGGCUCCUGUUUAGAAGAAUUUCGUGUUGCCCCCUUUAUUGAAUGUCAUGGACGGGGAACUUGCAGCUAUUAUGUAAAUACUUACAGUUUUUGGCUGGCGACGUUAGAUCCCUCACAGAUGUUCAGGAAACCCAGACCACAAACACUAAAGGCAGGAGAAUUACGAUCCAUAAUAAGCCGCUGUCAAGUCUGUACAAAGUAAAUCUGAACUCAAAAGAGUAUAAUGGUGCUGUUCUUAAUUAUGUUUGAAAGGUAUUAAUACAGAAAUGAAGAUAUAAUAAUGUUAUUAUUUUAUGGUGUUGAUUGGACUGUAGCAAACACUGCUAAUAAAUUUGCCAGACACUGUUGAUAUUGGUAACAUUUGUAAUCACACUCACAUCAACAAAGUAAUUGAUAGUAAAGUGAUGGUGCUGUGACAAAGCUUAGCAAAGAUUCUGCCCUUUGCUUUUGCAAUGAUAAAUAUUUUACUCAACAAUAGUACAAAUGUGGACUCCAUUGAUCUUCACAUCACAAUUAAACUAAUUAGUGUAAGACUUUGAUGGAGUUUCACGUUUAUCAUUUUCCGUCAUCUGAUGAUUUAGACAAAUCUUUAAUUUGAGAAACUACAAGUUAACACUGAGCCACAAGUACAUUGCACAGAUAGCAUUUACCUAAUAAUGUGCACUUAAUAGAGAAAUAUAUUAAAAUUAGAGCAUUGCCUUUUUGGAAUAGACAGCAUUUCAAUCUGCAGUAGUCUAUAUUUUUGGUAGUUAUUCAGAGUGCAAUUUUAUAUGCACAGUAAUGUGCAUAUUAAACCUAUAUAUAGGAACUUGUAUCCUUUCUACAAAAUAUUGGGGACAUUAGAGAUAAUCUUAAAGUUUAUCACAGGGUAAGAUAUGGAUGCAAGUGAU